UCGUAUUCCCUUGGCAUCCGCCACGUCUCCCCUGCCCGCUGUUGUCCUGUCAGGCUGUCGAUGUAUGCGUGACGGAGUGCACCGCUUCGGCCCUCGCGGGCUCGCUCGCUGCGUUGAUUGCGUUGAAGGGGAGACGACAGUGCAGUGCGCAGACACGCACACAAUCCAAGGCACGCUCUCAUUCACGGCUCGAGCGCCGUCCCAGCCGCCAUCCCUCUGACGUCGCUGUCCGCGUCGCUGUGGGUCCGCUUGCUCCCCGGUGCGCCGCUCACGCCAUCACGCCAGCCGCCGUUCAGACCCCGCUCAACCCCCCCCAACGGCCACUGCCACCACCACCACCCCACACACGCACGGACACACACAGCGUCGUCCUCGGCGACGUCCCUUGUCGUGCCCCCUCUGCUGUGCAGCACCCCUGCGCGUCGUUGUGUGGCUCACAGCAGUGUCGGUGCGACGCCGCACUGGGCGGGCGAAACGACUCGCACGGGGGAGGGCGGCCGCUGCUGCUGCUCCCCUGCGCCAUGCCUGUCGCAUUGUUUGGGGUGGCCCCCUCUCCACGGGGCCCUCGUGGGGGCGCUGCGGCCUCUCGUGGGAGGACGGGCGUGCACGCGGGCUCCGAUGGGCCCCCUUGUCUCUGCGCCUGGCUUGCUGGCCUCGCUCAGUGUCCCGCGGCCAGCCGUGCUGCGUCAGCGCACCCCUGCCCAGCUCAUGCGAACUGCGCACCCGUCAAGAGGCGACGGUGGCGAAAGGCGCGCGUGUGGCACGAGCACACACGCCGUCACUGCUGCCGUGGUGUCCACUCGCUUUCCUUGGUCCCUUGCAUGCAGCGUGCCUGCCUCGCUCUCAGCGAGGCGAAGUACUUUGCAUGCAGCGUGCCUGCCUCGCGCUCAGCGAGGCGAAGUACUUUGCGAGGGGCGGACGGCAGGAGCGCCCAACAAAACUGCACAGAAGACGCGCUGCUGUGCGCGGUGGCGGUGCCGCUGGUGGUAGUCUGAACACCCGAGCAGCAGCUCAUGCGGCGGCGGACGCGGAAGGCGCACACUCCGUGCACGGAGUCUACUCCAACGUGCGCGGUGCAGCGCGACAUCACGUGACGGUCUCUGGUACUGCUGCCACCGGCGCGAGAGACAGAGACGCGGUCCUGCUGCGUCUCUCCGACUCGGAUACGGCGCAGGACGGGCUUCGGCCCGGUCAAGCAAGGGAGGGGGCGGUGGGUGGUCGAACGGCGUCUCCCGUGGGUGGAGGUGGUGUGACGCGGGAGUGCACCACGACGGCCGUUGCCGCCCCGAAAGCCGCCGUGAGCACGAGCGUCGGUCGUGCCGACCGCACAGACUCUGCCGCCGCCGCGCGUACCCCCGACCGCGCUUCGCACGGCCGUCAGCGUGGUCGUCGGAAGCGGCGCCGAUCCGCGCGACAACAGCGAGAAUCUCCAGAACCCACGGCCGCCGCAGACAUCAUCUGUCAUGUUGGACCCCACGCAAGCGAAAGCGGUCGAUCUGGCUGUACGCGGCUUCAACAUCUUCGUGACGGGCGGCGCUGGAACGGGCAAGUCGCAGACGCUGCGUGCCAUCGUAGCGGCGCUGCGAAGUCGCGAGGUGCACGAGUCUGAGGAGACCUUGCGUGCGGUGGCGAGCGCAGCCGAUUCGCCACAGCGGGGUGGCAGCGGCCGGCGUGCGGGCGCGAGGGAGUCGGAUGUGGCGCGAGAGGAGGGGCGGAGCGUGCAGCGUGGUUUCGCAGAGCCAUCACCGCCGUCUCGCCUGUCCGAACUCUCGCGCGCCACCACAUCCGCGUCGAGGUCGAGCCCGCGCUCCUCUUCGGCCGCCCGCGCUGUGCCGGCCCUGAGCAGCGUCUGCGCCACCGCCACGACGGGACUGGCAGCGAUGCAGCUGCACGGCGUGGCAAUCAACACGUUUGCCGGCGUCGGACCUGGUCGUGGAACCCCGGGGCAGCCGCUUCGCAUGGUGCAGAAGAACGCGGAGGCGGCGCAGCGCUGGCGCCGAUGCCGCGUCCUGCUCAUUGAUGAGGUCAGCAUGCCGGAAGCCUCGCUCUUGGAGCCGCUCGACUACAUCGCACAUCGAGUGCGUCGAUGCACCAACGUGCCCUCUGGCGGCAUGCAGGUGAUCUUGUGCGGCGUCUCUUUCCAGCUGCCACCGAUUGCAGGCCGCGGGGGGCUGUGGUGCUGGCGAACGACCUCCUCGUCUCGCCCGUUAUGGACGCGGCGCCGCAAGCGCGUGGGCGCCCGCUGCCUCUGUACUCUUUUCGGUUUUUUUUUGUCGUCUCUGACGGUCGACGGAACGCGCUGGAUUUUUGUUUUGCAGUGGUCGAUGGGUCAGAGACCGAGUCGAGAGGAGGGAAGGUGUUUACGAUCGAGGACCUCAACGUGUUGUUUUUGUCUUUGUGUUCUGCGACUGUUGGAAAAGCUUCACCGUGAAAGCGGGCAGCUGUUGAGGGUGGGAUGGGUCAGUCAGAAGGAAGAGAUGUGGAGGGUGCAGGGCACCGCACUGCGUUACAACAAGGUUCUUCGCCGGUGUCGUUUCCCGAUAGCCUUGCCCAUUCGGCUGCCUGCGCUUUUUGCUCCUAGACAUCAGCUUGGAGGGGUCUUGGUAUGCGCGUUGUCGUGCUGGAACACCCCCACUGGGAGGUUUGCGACGCAUUUUUUCUCCGCGUUCUCGAUGAAGUGCGUCAGGGUGCGUUGUCGCCGGCUGGAUCUCGUACAUUGGCAUCCCCCUGCGUGCACGCGGCGGACGACACCUGCAGUCAUGCUGGUACAUAUGCGAGUGUAUGAACGGUGGAAACAGCUGUAUCCACAGCAACAGGUGUCACUGCGGCGUCGCGUUUACGCCUGUGUGCUACGAACAGCGAGGUUGACGCGCGCAAUGCCAUCUUUUUCGCGCAGCUCACCCAAGCAUCCUUUAGUGCACGCAACCAACAGAACUUCGGACGCUUCCGCGUCUUCAACGAAGGUAGAGCCAUCAGUUGUCGGUCCGGGUCCACAAGAUGUGCAUGCUGCUAGGUGGGCACCUUCCCGCACGUAUCGCGCCUACGACAUGCUAACAACAGAGGCAAUGAGCCGAACUCACCGGCCACAGUCCACCGUCGUGGCCGUGCCCUCUCCCGUUUCUGACGCUCUGAUCGGCACGCAGCUAGUGCAGCUGCUGGCGUUGAAGGUCGGCACACGUGUGCUGCUGCAGUGCAACGUAGCGCCGCGCCAUCGUCUCAUAAACGGCUCUGUGGUGAUUUUACCGGUUUCCUGCACCCGCUGGAGCUUCUUGCCGUCGUGAACUACUUUGGAGAAUGUGAGCGCAUGCGCUUCGGCGAAGACGACGGUGGAGGAUGCAUCCCCGGCAAGGCGUUUGCCACCCGCUACCCCUGACCGGGGCGGAGCUCCGCCACCGCUGGCGUCGUGGGCUCAACAGCUGCUUCGCCGCGGCGGGUUUGGCUGCGGCUCUGAUGUGCUCGCCUGCGUGGAGACCUUUCAGACUAUGGACGUUGAAUCUCUCUGGUGGCGGAUGCGCAAAAAACUACGAAGGCGGCAUGGCAAACGCGAAGGCACAUCAUCGCAGCGCUGCCGCGACAACCGCGAGGCAAUGGGCACUAGUUGUGUAGAUGUGGAACUGGGGAAGGCUAUGGAGGCCGAUAAGGUAGGAACGCACAGCCCCCGCGCAGCGCCUGCAGCAGCAGUAGCAGCAGCGUCCGUUUGUUUACGCCUUUGUCUCUCCCAUUACGCAAGACUUGAGCGGGGCAUCGGCGUUCUCUGAGGGCGGAGCUAGCGAUGAUGUUGCCAGUAGGAGUGAGAGAGCAGCAUGGGGUGCGGAAGGCAGUGUCACGGUGUCUGCCGCGAGUGUCGUGUCCCACACGCAGAUACCCCUACGACACGCGUGGGCACUCACAAUUCACAAAUCGCAGGGCCUCACGCUGCAGCCAGUGCAGGUCGAUAUGGCCAACAUUCGCACACCUGGGCAGGCCUACGUUGCACUGAGUCUGGCGCCGUCGCUGGAUCAGCUCACGAUAUUUAACUUCGAUCCGAUGGCGGUGACCACCUCAGCGGCAGGGACACCCGCAACUUAAGCUCCCUCGAUUCACGCUGACACAACUCAGAAGCAGGCCCACACGCUCACCCUUCCAAUCCCGUUUGUAUAUUUUUGGCUCUUUUUUUUCUCUGUGUGUGGAAUGAAGAAUGAAGCUUCUGCCCUGCAUCUGCAGAUUCCGCACCAGCGGCCUUAGCCGCGCCCGCGCGCGCUCCAGACUGCUAUUCCACCUAUGGAUGCACCACCCGCAACACCACGCAGGCAUCUUCAUGGAGAAUGGCGUACCUAGGACGCGGAAGCUCCGCCACCCAAAACGCUACAGCGCACGAUAUGCCUCAGCACCUUCGCCGGCCCCGUCCCGCUCACCGCCCAUCUCAGCCGCGUCCAACGGGGCUGUCGAUCUUGCAAAAGUCGCGCCUUGGGUGCGUGGCCACCGCUGCGAGGAGUCCCCCACACGUCUGCGGUGUUGCCCGGGUCUGGAAGAACAACGUCGUCGCGGAAUUGCCGACGCCAGCGCUGCCAAGGUCGCCUUCGCCGCCUCCCACUCCAUGUUUCUCUGCGAUCCGUUUGGACUGUCCGCGACCCAUUCCUGCCCCCGCCCGAGGAUGCACCUGACCCUUCUCUCUCCGCCGUCGGUGCAGAUUGUCCAUAGUGCCUCUCCCCCAUCUUUUCGAGAUUACGCGCUGCCUCGGCUUCGCGCUCCGACCAGCCAGAUGGGGAGCGGCUGCCGGCGGAAGGAGCACGUGAGCCAUCGGAGAGACGCUUCCGCGCACAGGAAGAAAACCUCGCGCAUGGAACGUCGAACCGUCACGGAUGGCGCCUCGCUACCGCAGCGCGCGCAGUGAUCAUACCAAAGGGAAACACAGAAUACACAAGGAAAUCGUGGUACGGUGGGAGUCCCUGGCCACGAUCCUGCCCCCGCCUCCCCCGAGCCCUUUCGUUUCGCCUUUUACUUCUUUUUAUUUUCUUACGGCUUUCCGCUGCUGCCACCACCUGUGCUUGCUCUCUGAAAUGGCUGCGCGAUCAUCGCGUACAGGCUUCGCUCGCAUGUCUGUAUGCGUGCGUAUGUGGCCUCAAACGCUCGCACACGGCUGCCUUGGACUUGUGCAGUACUCGCUUUCUGGUCCGCUGCAGUCGCGCGCGAGUGCGCAAGUGUGUGCGCCCAUUCCCACCAGAGAAGAACCCGAACAACAACAGGGCAAGAGAAGCGCCCAGGGCACGAGGCAAGCACAGCGAAGCUCGCAUCACAUUCGCACCUGAUGGCAUCCGAGGCUAUAGUGGUCUGCACACGCACGCACGCGAGGUUGAGACGACACGACACUCCCUCUCGCUUGUUGCAUCCCCUCACUGGAAUGUUGGCCGUGCUUGACGUUGCGGGUAAGUGUAGUGGAGUGUGUAUGGCUCACACAAGCACUGCCGUAGUGAGUGUA
rnacentral:misc_RNA from 1 species